UUAAUUUCUGCAGCUUCGGCUAAAGUUAUUAUGUUAAAUAUGCUAGUCCUUUCAUGAUUAUGUGAUAGGUGGUGCAUGGCCGUUCUUAAUUCGUGGAAUGAUCUGUCUGCUUAAUUGCAUUUCACUAAGGGCCUAUAAAUUACGUGUGUUGCGGUACUUUGACCCCUCUUUUCUCACGAGAAGAGCGCGUGUCUUAGUUUGCUUAGCUCACACAAUUAGGUCCUGAAAGCAACGAACGUGACCGCAACCUCUUGUUGCCUUUAUACCAAACAUGGAUAUUCUCUUCGGAGGGUUUCAUGAAAAAAGGCUUUUUAAACUAGAGGGACCGCUGUUACUUUCUUAAACCAGAGGAAGGUUGCGGCAAUAACAGGUCUGUGAUGCCCUUAGAUGUUCCGGGCUGCACACGUGCUACAAUGAUUAUUGCAGUGAGCAUCUCAUUUUUUACACACCGCAUACGCGAGUCCAUUUAUUCACUCUCGUGUGCUUUAAAUGUGCAUCUCUGCGAGCGGUAAAGCCUGCUUCGAAAGUAAGUGGGUAAUCAAUUAGAAGUAAUGAUUUCCUUUUUUUCUAGCACACAUAUAUACGGCGUUUAUACCCGGGCUGCCUUGUUGUAGCUUUUGUGCGUAUAGAUGUUUUUUCCGUAUGUGCGAUUGUCAAUUCAUGGUGGGGACAGACCAUUGUUAAUUGUUGGUCUCGGUCUUAACUAGGAAUGCCUUGUACGGGUCUUUGGUUCAACAAACCACCCGGAAUACGUCCCUGCCCUUUGUACACACCGCCCGUCGCUCUUACCGAUGGACUUCUCUGUGAGUUUGAGGGACUGGGAACGCAGGUUUUUUA
rnacentral:rRNA from 1 species